rnacentral:rRNA from 1 species
CGUGCAGGCGGCCUUGCAAGUCGGACGUGAAAUCCCACGGCUCAACCGUGGAAGGGCAUUCGAAACUGCGAGGCUGGAGUCCUGGAGAGGAAAGUGGAAUACUCGGUGUAGAGGUGAAAUUCGUAGAUAUCGAGUGGAACACCGGUGGCGAAGGCGGCUUUCUGGACAGGUACUGACGCUGAGACGCGAAAGCGUGGGAGCAAACA